rnacentral:rRNA from 1 species
AAAGAACCCCGGCGAGGGGAGUGAAAAAGAACCUGAAACCGUGUACGUACAAGCAGUGGGAGCCUCUUUAUGGGGUGACUGCGUACCUUUUGUAUAAUGGGUCAGCGACUUAUAUUCUGUAGCAAGGUUAACCGAAUAGGGGAGCCGAAGGGAAACCGAGUCUUAACUGGGCGUUAAGUUGCAGGGUAUAGACCCGAAACCCGGUGAUCUAGCCAUGGGCAGGUUGAAGGUUGGGUAACACUAACUGGAGGACCGAACCGACUAAUGUUGAAAAAUUAGCGGAUGACUUGUGGCUGGGGGUGAAAGGCCAAUCAAACCGGGAGAUAGCUGGUUCUCCCCGAAAGCUAUUUAGGUAGCGCCUCGUGAAUUCAUCUCCGGGGGUAGAGCACUGUUUCGGCAAGGGGGUCAUCCCGACUUACCAACCCGAUGCAAACUGCGAAUACCGGAGAAUGUUAUCACGGGAGACACACGGCGGGUGCUAACGUCCGUCGUGAAGAGGGAAACAACCCAGACCGCCAGCUAAGGUCCCAAAGUCAUGGUUAAGUGGGAAACGAUGUGGGAAGGCCCAGACAGCCAGGAUGUUGGCUUAGAAGCAGCCAUCAUUUAAAGAAAGCGUAAUAGCUCAC